CUAGUAAUACUAUGAUUUAUUCAAAGCAAGGUAAGUAGAGUAUACAUCUGUAUACACAAAAUACAUCUCCACUUUCCACAGCUAUACUACUAUGAGUACGACUACUGCUUAUAAUGUUUGACGAGACAAUUAAGCCUGCACCUAAGAAGAAACCUGCUUAUGCUGUAUAAGAAAAUGAAAAAACGAAGAAACUUCUGAAUAGUAAACGAUCCCUAGCUAGAGUACGUGUUACAUCGACCUUAAUGCAAAUAGAAGAUAAUUACUUUCAGGUUAAUUGACCGCCAUGCAAUGCAAGACACGCGGCAAUUCUCUGUCCGUCGUGUCCUGUGUUUAUGCCGGAGGACAAUGAUUGUUUUGAUCGUGUGUGUCUCUACACGGUGGCUUGUACUUCUCCUCGAACGGAGGUAGCAUCUGGACUCGCCAUUGAUGAGACUCCGGUGACGACGGCAGCUGCACAAUGUUGACGGAUCCGCCGGAGGAGGAGGGUUCCCCGGCCUGCAGGUCACCUUGCAACGGCCUGGCAGCGGCCCGGGCCCAUAAGCCGGACGUGGCCACGAGAACAAGGAGCAUGGCCACCACAAGCUUCUUCCCGGCCAUCCUGGACAUGGAGAGAUUUGCAAGUGUAUAUUACUGACUCUAGCUAGCUUUCCAAAAGCUCGAUCACAGCGUUGUUCUUCAGAAUUUUGAGCUCUAUCAGUCAAUCAAAACUAGCAGGCUUUUCUCUGUUUGUAUAUGUGAUGAGCUGUGUAGUGUG
rnacentral:lncRNA from 1 species